rnacentral:rRNA from 1 species
AGAAUCAACGCUGGCGGCGUGCCUAACACAUGCAAGUCGAACGAGAAAGUGGAGCAAUCCAUGAGUAAAGUGGCGCACGGGUGAGUAACACGUGACUAACCUACCCUCGAGUGGGGAAUAACUUCGGGAAACCGAGGCUAAUACCGCAUAAAACCUAAGGAUCAAAGGAGCAAUCCGUUUGAGGAGGGGGUCGCGGCAGAUUAGUUAGUUGGCGGGGUAAUGGCCCACCAAGACGAUGAUCUGUAUCCGGCCUGAGAGGGCGCACGGACACACUGGAACUGAAACACGGUCCAGACUCCUACGGGAGGCAGCAGUGGGGAAUUUUGCGCAAUGGGGGAAACCCUGACGCAGCAACGCCGCGUGGAGGAUGAAAUCCCUUGGGAUGUAAACUCCUUUCGAUCGGGAAGAUAAUGACGGUACCGGAAGAAGAAGCCCCGGCUAACUUCGUGCCAGCAGCCGC